GGACUACAGGGGUUUCUAAUCCUGUUUGCUCCCCUAGCUUUCGUGCAUCAGCGUCAGUUGUGGUCCAGUGAGCCGCUUUCGCCACAGGUGUUCCUCCUGAUAUCUACGCAUUUCACCGCUACACCAGGGAUUCCACUCACCUCUCGCACACUCAAGCCCGGCAGUUUCUCGUGCAGGCUCCGAGUUGAGCCCGGAGAUUUCACACAAGACUUACCAAACCGCCUACGCACCCUUUACGCCCAAUAAUUCCGAACAACGCUCGCCCCCCUCGUAUUACCGCGGCGGCUGGCAC
rnacentral:rRNA from 1 species